UAGGGAAUCUUCGGCAAUGGACGGAAGUCUGACCGAGCAACGCCGCGUGAGUGAAGAAGGUUUUCGGAUCGUAAAGCUCUGUUGUUAGAGAAGAACGUUGGUAGGAGUGGAAAAUCUACCAAGUGACGGUAACUAACCAGAAAGGGACGGCUAACUACGUGCCAGCAGCCGUGGUAAUACGUAGGUCCCGAGCGUUGUCCGGAUUUAUUGGGCGUAAAGCGCGCGCAGGCGGUUCUUUAAGUCUGAAGUUAAAGGCAGUGGCUUAACCAUUGUACGCUUUGGAAACUGGAGGGCUUGAGUGCAGAAGGGGAGAGUGGAAUUCCCUGUGUAGCGGUGAAAUGCGUAGAUAUAUGGAGGAACACCGGUGGCGAAAGCGGCUCUCUGGUCUGUAACUGACGCUGAGGCUCGAAAGCGUGGGGAGCAAACAGG
rnacentral:rRNA from 1 species